ACAAGGCCAAAGGAGAGGAGGGAGAGAAAGACAAGGAGUGUGAGAAGGAAAAAGAAAUAGUAGAGGAAGAGGCCAAGCCGGAAGACGCAGGUGCGGCAGAAACAGAGGUAAAGGAGGAAGGAGAAAAAGAGGAAGAGAAACAGGAGGAGAAUGUGGUGGAGGAGGAGGAGGAGGAGGAGGGGAAGAAGCAGAAAGCAUCUCGCCGCCCCAGGAUACUGCACUGCAAAGUCAAGCUGCUGGAUGAUACUCUGUUCGAGUGUGAGCUGGAAAAGCAUGCCAAAGGCCAGGAGCUGUUUGCAAAAGUGUGUGACCACCUGAACCUGUUAGAGAAGGACUAUUACGGUCUGGCCAUAUGGGAGACGACAACCAUAAAGACAUGGCUGGAGUUCACCAAGGAGAUCAGACGGCAAGUACAAGG